GACGAACGCUGGCGGCGUGCUUAACACAUGCAAGUCGAACGGUGAUGAUGGGAGCUUGUUCUUGUGUGAUCAGUGGCGAACGGGUGAGUAACACGUGAGUAACCUGCCCCAGACUCUGGGAUAACCCCGGGAAACCGGAGCUAAUACCGGAUAUGACACCAAUCCGCAUGGGUAUGGUGUGGAAAGUUUUUCGGUCUGGGAUGGACUCGCGGCCUAUCAGCUUGUUGGUGAGGUAGUGGCUCACCAAGGCGACGACGGGUAGCCGGCCUGAGAGGGCGACCGGCCACACUGGGACUGAGACACGGCCCAGACUCCUACGGGAGGCAGCAGUGGGGAAUAUUGCACAAUGGGCGCAAGCCUGAUGCAGCGACGCCGCGUGAGGGAUGACGGCCUUCGGGUUGUAAACCUCUUUCAGCAGGGAAGAAGCGCAAGGACGG
rnacentral:rRNA from 1 species